rnacentral:rRNA from 1 species
AUUGAACGCUGGCGGCAUGCCUUACACAUGCAAGUCGAACGGCAGCACGGGAGCAAUCCUGGUGGCGAGUGGCGAACGGGUGAGUAAUACAUCGGAACGUGCCCGAUAGUGGGGGAUAGCCCGGCGAAAGCCGGAUUAAUACCGCAUACGACCUACGGGUGAAAGCAGGGGAUCGCAAGACCUUGCGCUAUUGGAGCGGCCGAUGGCAGAUUAGGUAGUUGGUGGGGUAAAAGCCCACCAAGCCUGCGAUCUGUAGCUGGUUUGAGAGGACGACCAGCCACACUGGGACUGAGACACGGCCCAGACUCCUACGGGAGGCAGCAGUGGGGAAUUUUGGACAAUGGGCGCAAGCCUGAUCCAGCCAUGCCGCGUGCGGGAAGAAGGCCUUCGGGUUGUAAACCGCUUUUGUCAGGGAAGAAACGCUCUGGGUUAAUACCUCGGAGUAAUGACGGUACCUGAAGAAUAAGCACCGGCUAACUACGUGCCAGCAGCCGCGGUAAUACGUAGGGUGCAAGCGUUAAUCGGAAUUACUGGGCGUAAAGCGUGCGCAGGCGGUUAUGCAAGACAGAUGUGAAAUCCCCGGGCUCAACCUGGGAACUGCAUUUGUGACUGCAUGGCUAGAGUGCGGCAGAGGGGGAUGGAAUUC